rnacentral:rRNA from 1 species
GACGAACGCUGGCGGCGUGCUUAACACAUGCAAGUCGAACGAUGAAGAAGAGAAACGCGAACUUCGGUUCAAAUUUCACUUCGGAUUAGUGGCAGACGGGUGAGUAACGCGUGAGCAACCUACCUCUUACAAAGGGAUAGCCUCGGGAAACCGUGAUUAAUACCAUAUGACACAUUCAUAAGGCAUCUUAAGAAUGUUAAAGCUACGGCGGUAAGAGAUGGGCUCGCGUCCCAUUAGCUAGUUGGUGAGGUAACGGCCCACCAAGGCGACGAUGGGUAACCGGCCUGAGAGGGUGAACGGUCACAUUGGAACUGAGACACGGUCCAAACUCCUACGGGAGGCAGCAGUGGGGAAUAUUGCACAAUGGAGGGAACUCUGAUGCAGCGACGCCGCGUGAGCGAUGAAGGAAUUCGUUUCGUAAAGCUCUGUUCUAUGGGAAGAAAAGGACUGUACCAUAGGAGAAAACCCCGGCUAAAUACGU